rnacentral:rRNA from 1 species
AUUGAACGCUGGCGGCAUGCCUUACACAUGCAAGUCGAACGGUAACAGGUUAAGCUGACGAGUGGCGAACGGGUGAGUAAUACAUCGGAACGUGCCCAGACGUGGGGGAUAGCUCGGCGAAAGCCGGAUUAAUACCGCAUAAGCUCUGAGGAGGAAAGCGGGGGACCGUAAGGCCUCGCGCGUUUGGAGCGGCCGAUGGCAGAUUAGGUAGUUGGUGGGGUAAAGGCUUACCAAGCCUACGAUCUGUAGCUGGUCUGAGAGGACGACCAGCCACACUGGGACUGGGACACGGCCCAGACUCCUACGGGAGGCAGCAGUGGGGAAUUUUGGACAAUGGGCGAAAGCCUGAUCCAGCAAUGCCGCGUGCAGGAUGAAGGCCUUCGGGUUGUAAACUGCUUUUGUACGGAACGAAAAGGCGCCUACUAAUACUGGGUGUUGAUGACGGUACCGUAAGAAUAAGCACCGGCUAAUUACGUGCCAGCAGCCGCCGUAAGAC